UACGAAGGGGGCUAGCGUUGCUCGGAAUCACUGGGCGUAAAGCGCACGUAGGCGGCUCUUUAAGUCAGGGGUGAAAUCCUGGAGCUCAACUCCAGAACUGCCCUUGAUACUGAGGAGCUUGAGUCCGGGAGAGGUGAGUGGAACUGCGAGUGUAGAGGUGAAAUUCGUAGAUAUUCGCAAGAACACCGGUGGCGAAGGCGGCAUCCUGGACCAAUAUUGACGCUGAGGAGCGAAAGCCAGGGGAGCAAACGGG
rnacentral:rRNA from 1 species